rnacentral:rRNA from 1 species
UACGUAGGGGGGCGAGCGUUGUCCGGAUUCAUUGGGCGUAAAGCGCGGGCAGGCGGCCCGCUCAGUCGGCCGUGAAAGCGCCGGGCUCAACUCGGCGAGGUCGGGCGAUACUGGCGGGCUCGAGGCUGGUAGAGGGCGGUGGAAUUCCGGGUGUAGUGGUGGAAUGCGUAGAGCUCCGGAGGAACACCAGUGGCGAAGGCGGCCGCCUGGGCCAGU